CUCAUCUGCACUCGCAACAGCAGGACAACAACUUCUGUUUUCCCCUCUUUGUUAAGGAGGUCACAACUUGCCUUGCGGACAGAAGAUGGAAUGGAGCUGUGAACAUGAGCAUUAAGCUUUUGACCUUCUACAGAAACUGUUCCCACAAUCCAAGCUAUCUAGUGAGAAACAUUUCUGCAAAAGCAAUUACCACGAGAAGAAACUGGCAAGAUAGGCUGUGUCUUCAUGACAAGGAGAAAAAAGGAGGGUCGAAAGGGGCCUCCAAAAAAAUGUACCAGACAGAAGUAGACUGUUUCUCAUAGACUGGGGUGGUGCAAAAGAAGUGAAAGGAUGUGGGAGUGAGUUAUGGGUCAGGAAGGAAGGAAAGGGAUUUCUUUGGAGAACAAGGGAGGGGAGUACAGCAGAGACCACUGGAGUCCAAGCAUUACCUUUUUUGUGUGUGUAUUUGUAUAGUACUGUUUUCACUUUUUCUGUAGAAUAGAAAUCUUCCUGGGUUUCUUUUGCAUACUGGGAGUGAGGACUGGCUGUAUCAGGUUGCAGACAAGUGGCUUGCAGUAUUGUGUCCUCCUGCAUCCCUAUUUAAUGGACAAAUUCCACAAGCUGUGAUAGAUUCAGCAGGUUGAAGUGAUGAUGAUGAUGAUGAUGGUAUUAGGAAUUAUGAUGGUUAGCCUUUUUCUGAUUCUCGAACACCUUGUUUUGAAUGAACAAAGGCCAUUCUUCACAUCUAGUCUAGAAGAAUGUGGUGCUUGGCUUGAAUCAUUGAUGAAGCCUUGGUUAUCUGUGUUGGGCUCUCUGAAGACAGGGAAUAUACACCAUAACCAAAAUCCUAAAACUGUUGCUGACGGUAUCUCUUGCAGCAGAAAGUUCCAGCUGCAUAUGGACACUGGAUCUUGGUCCAUGUAGAUUGCUGACAGUAAAAUCUCACCUAAUGAUUGGCUAGAAUUUAGAAGGAGUGGCAAGCGAUACCUCCUUGAAAUGGUGCUAUAAAGUAUAAAUUAAAUAUUCCUUUCUCUCUUGCAUUUCUGAAUUUAAAUCCAUACCUUCAAAAUCCCUCGCUAGUCAGAGUGUUGCUGAUGAGAAGGAGUGAUAAAUGAUUUGGAGAAUGCUCUUUCUUGCCUUGGCUAUAAUUAAACCACUGUGGAUUUUCCAGCUCCAAAUGCUUACUGACGUGCAGCAAUCUGGACAGCCAGACUGCCUAAGACAAAGACUGUUUUCUUAUUUAUAGGGAUGCUGAGUCAUAAGGUAAUGUGUAGAUGCUGGCAGUAGGAUACCAGCUCUUCACACAGGACAGUGAAGUAGGGGCAUCCUCAUGGAAAAGCUCUGCUCACAGCUGUUCAGGAUCAGGUAGCACAGCAUACUGUUUCUUGUCUCUUUCUGCCCAAACUAAGAAACACAGGCAGAUGAGGGCAUUGGAUAGGCCCCAGCCAGUAUCUGCACCAAGAGAGGUAAAGAACAAAUUCUCACUUGCCUUCAAUACCAGAGUAAUGGAGACACCUGUGAUUUCCACCAUACGAUAGAUUUGCUUCAUUCUAUAGGGGUGCUCAUUCCAUACUUUUUUGGUGUAAGGAUACCGUUGUAAGGACAACCAGUCACAGGAGCAGAAGCAACACCAGAACUACAAAUACUGUUCAGAUAAGAAAAAAGAGAAGAAAGAUUGGGCCACAGCUCUGAUGGCUGGUUUAAUCUCAUGGUAGUGAGUUGAACAAGAACAGACAGUGAAAACAUAUAUGCACGAAUUUGUGUAGCACUGUGCUGUGGUACAUGUUAUUUGACAGAUACAACACAUCCACCUGAAAAUCUCUGAUCUCUGUCAGAAAAGGAGAGAACAAACCAACAUCGCUUGAUGUUGAAAAUAUAAAAUACCUUUCAGGCUUGGCUAAAAAGGCAGUGUGGAUCUAGUCUGUAUCUCCUUUAUCAACAAGCUCCAGCUAUAGACAUAAGAGACAUAACCUGCAUGU